GCCUGUAGUCCCAACUACUCGGGAGGCUGAGGUGGGAGAAUUGCUUGAGCCCAGGAGUUCUGGGCUGUAGUGCGCUAUGCCAAUUGGGUGUCUGCACUAAGUUCAGCAUCAACAUGGUGACCUGCUGGGAGUAGGGGACCACCGGGUUGCCUAAGGAUGGGUGAACCGGCCCAGGUCGGAAACGGAGCAGGUCAAAACUCCCAUGCUGAUCAGUACUGGGAUCGCGCCUGUGAAUAGCCACUGCACUCCAGCCUGGGCAACAUAGCGAGACCCCCAUCUCUU
rnacentral:SRP_RNA from 1 species